UACGUAGGGCGCAAGCGUUGUCCGGAAUUAUUGGGCGUAAAGAGCUCGUAGGCGGUCUGUUACGUCCGCUGUUAAAACCCAGGGCUUAACCCUGGGCUUGCAGUGGAUACGGGUAGACUAGAGGCAGGUAGGGGAGAAUGGAAUUCCCGGUGUAGCGGUGAAAUGCGCAGAUAUCGGGAGGAACACCGGUGGCGAAGGCGGUUCUCUGGGCCUGACCUGACGCUGAGGAGCGAAAGCGUGGGGAGCGAACAGG
rnacentral:rRNA from 1 species